rnacentral:rRNA from 1 species
UACGGAGGGUGCAAGCGUUAUCCGGAUUCACUGGGUUUAAAGGGUGCGUAGGUGGGCAGGUAAGUCAGUGGUGAAAUCUCCGGGCUUAACCCGGAACUGCCGUUGAUACUAUUUGUUCUUGAAUAUUGUGGAGGUAAGCGGAAUAUGUCAUGUAGCGGUGAAAUGCUUAGAUAUGACAUAGAACACCAAUUGCGAAAGGCAGCUUACUACACAACGAUUGACGCUGAGCACGAAAUGCGUGGGGAGUCAAACAGGAAUAGAAACCCGUU